CUAUCACUUUUACUGUCGUUUCAGUACUUUUAGAGGGCCAUAAAAUAUGACUUUUUGUUCGGGUCAAAAUUUGAGAAAAUGUUCUUCAUGGAAGUUGUAGAGGACGUUAAACCGAGCGCGUGCAUAUGUGGUAUGUAAAAAUCGGAGUUCGUAUACGAAAGUUAUGGCCAAAAUACUAAAGUUACUGUUCAUAGUAAGUUUCUAUAAAUAGCCGAGUUACUGUGGUAAGUUUCCAUUUUCGGAAACUUACCGAGCCUCUCCCUUCUCUCUCCCCGAUUCUCUCUUCCUCUCCGACCUCUUCACCUUCUUCCGGCCAUAACUCCUCCAUCCGGCGACGGAUUUUGACGUGUAAGAUGUCGUUGGAAAGCUCUCUUCCUUCUCUUCAUUUCUGGGUUCGUUUCGUAGCUUAAUAUGAACUGUGGAAGGUGCAGCAACGAGAAGAAGAGGACGGUCACUGUAGCAGUUUUGAGUCAACGCCGAUAUUUUCCGAUUCCGGCAGUCUCCGGCCACCAAAUUGACGUCGAAGGGUUCUUGGAAUUUCUGGAAAAUUUUCACCGGCCAAAUUGGAGCUCUUCCAGGGCAAUGCCGCGAGCUACGGUUAAAUGAAGGAACUCGUUUGCGUGGUCGCCCAAUAGUACUUUUGCAGGCGAAAUUAGUUGAGGUCGGGCGUACAUGGAGUCGAGGCAUAGCCAACAGCAUUGCUUCCGCUUGCAGGUGAUCUUCCUGUAGUAAUAUCAUGUGCUAGUCUUGCCCUAGCAGAUGCAGGGAUAAUGAUGUAUGACCUUGUCGCCUCAGUCUCUGUGGUAUUCAUCUAGCCCAAUCUUUUUUACUUUCUCUUGACAUUAAGCAGAGAACAAAGAUUUGGCUUGUUAUUUAGUUUGCAAACAUGAAGUUUGUUCUUGCAUAACAAGUGAAGAUAGUUAUUGCUACUAUGGCUCUUCAUAACUACAUAAGAAGAUAUGCUCAACGAGAUCUUGAUUUUGAUGAAAGUGGAAAUUACUCAAGUGAAGAGACUACUGAAGAGAUGGAGGACAAUGAACAUGAAGGAGAUGGUCCGGGAAGACAAGAAAUGAAGGUGUUAAGAAAUACAAUUGCACAAAGUCUAAUGAAUGCAUAUACUUAGCAUUUAGUUGCAAAAUUCAAGUAACUUUAA